rnacentral:rRNA from 1 species
CCCUUAGAUGUUCUGAACCGCACGCGUGUUACACUGAUGCAUUCAACGAGCUUUACCUUGGCCGAGAGGCCUGGGAAAUCUUUUUAGCAUGCAUCGUGAUAGGGAUUGAUUAUUGCAAUUAUUAAUCAUGAACGAGGAAUUCCUAGUAAACGCAUUUCAUCAAAAUGCAUUGAUUACGUCCCUGCCCUUUGUACACACCGCCCGUCGCACCUACCGAUUGAGUGGUCCGGUGAAGUCUCGAGAUUGUGGCAAUCUCCUUUAUUGGAGUUGGACUGCGAGAACUUGCCUAAACCUUAUCACUUAGAGGAAGGUGAAGUCGUAACA